GACGAACGCUGGCGGCGUGCUUAACACAUGCAAGUCGAACGGUAAGGCCCUUCGGGGUACACGAGUGGCGAACGGGUGAGUAACACGUGGGUGAUCUGCCCUGCACUUCGGGAUAAGCCUGGGAAACUGGGUCUAAUACCGGAUGGGACCCUGGGAUACAUGUCCGGGGGGUGAAAGCUUUUGCGGUGUGGGAUGGGCCCGCGGCCUAUCAGCUUGGUGGUGGGGUGAUGGCCUACCAAGGCGACGACGGGUAGCCGGCCUGAGAGGGUGACCGGCCACACUGGGACUGAGAUACGGCCCAGACUCCUACGGGAGGCAGCAGUGGGGAAUAUUGCACAAUGGGCGCAAGCCUGAUGCAGCGACGCCGCGUGAGGGAUGACGGCCUUCGGGUUGUAAACCUCUUUCAGCACCGACGAAGCGCAAGUGACGGUAGGUGCAGAAGAAGGACCGGCCAACUACGUGCCAGCCGCCGCGGUAA
rnacentral:rRNA from 1 species